rnacentral:lncRNA from 1 species
ACUUCUGAGUGUUGUUUGUUUGUUUGAUCGAAUAAGAUUACAGUAAAACUCCAUGGAAACUGAAAAAGACUACAUAAGCAGUUGAUAUUCUUUUUAAUAAUAAGAUUACUGUUGUUGUUGAAUUGACAGCUGAGAUAUUUAUAGAUGCAGCAAGGAUGUCAAGUAGAUGAUCAGAAAGCAGGCAAAGACCAAGACCUCAGGGAAUCAGAGCGAAACGCCAAGCGGACUGAAGUGAGAGCACAUGAGGUCAGGAUGUGCAUGUGGAAAUUGUAAUACUGCUGACAAGUGUGACUGAGAAUGUGAUCGUGAUCAAACUGAAAUGGCACCAAGCAGGUCAGAUUCCCGUGCCCACUCUGUCAUUUAUUCA